AUGUCAUUUUCAAACUUGACCUGUAAUUUGCCAGUCACUCCCAAAUUUCAACAACUUCCAAACCCUAAUUUCAAUCGUUCAAGAAACUCAACAAAAACAAGACUAUACUCUAAAUUUCAUCAUCAAGACCAACACACUGCUCUUGUUUCCUCAUUCAAUCAAUUGCUCCAUCAAAACAAUCCUAAACCACCGAUAAUCCAAUUUACAAAAAUCUUAACUUCUCUUGUCAAACUGAAACACUACUCAACUGUUAUUUCACUUCAUCAACAGAUGGAAUUAAACGGAAUUGAGUCAGGCUUCGUCACUUUCAACAUCUUAAUCAAUUGUUUUUCUCAAUUGGGUCAAAUCUCUCUUUCAUUUGCUGUAUUUGCCACUAUUCUCAAAAAGGGUUAUCACCCAAAUGUCAUAACUUUUACUACACUCAUCAAUGGGUUAUGUCAAGUUGGAGAAAUCAACAAUGCUAAGGAUAUACUCAACACUAUGGCUAAGAAUGGAGUGCCUCCUGAGGCUUGGAGCUACAGUAUCUUGAUUAAUGGAUUUUGUAAACUUAAAAUGGUAGAUGAAGCCGUCAAUCUCUUCAAUGAAAUGCAUCAUAGAAAAAUUAUUCCUGAUGUCGUGACUUACACUUCGCUUAUUGAUGGUUUGUGCAAAUCAGGAAGAAUCGAAUAUGCUUUGGAGCUUGUCGAUGAAAUGCGUUGUAGAAACAUUAUUCCUGAUGUGGUGACUUACAGUUCACUUAUUGAUGGUUUGUGCAAGUUGGGAAGAGUCGAAUAUGCUUUGGAGCUUGUCGAUGAAAUGCGUUGUAGAAAAAUUAUUCCUAAUGUGGUGACUUACAGUUCACUUAUUGAUGGUUUGUGCAAGUUGGGAAGAGUCGAAUAUGCUUUGGAGCUUGUCGAUGAAAUGCGUUGUAGAAAAAUUAUUCCUAAUGUGGUGACUUACAAUUCACUUAUUGAUGGAUUGUGCAAAUCAGGAAGAAUCAAAUAUGCAUUGGAGCUUCUCGAUGAAAUGCGUUGUAGAAAAAUUAUUCCUAAUGUGGUGACUUACACUUCACUUAUUGAUGGUUUGUGCAAAUCAGGAAGAAUCGAAUAUGCAUCGGAGCUUCUCGAUGAAAUGCAUUGUAGAAAAAUUAUUCCUAAUGUGGUGACUUACAAUUCACUUAUUGAUGGUUUGUGCAAGUCAGGAAGAAUCGAAUAUGCUUUGGAGCUUGUCAAUGAAAUGCGUUGUAGAAACAUUAUUCCUGAUGUGGUGACUUACACUUCACUUAUUGAUGGUUUGUGCAAGUUGGGAAGAGUCGAAUAUGCUUUGGAGCUUGUCGAUGAAAUGCGUUGUAGAAACAUUAUUCCUAAUGUGGUGACUUACACUUCACUUAUUGAUGGUUUGUGUAAAUCGGGAAGCAUCGAAUAUGCUUUGGAGCUUGUCGAUGAAAUGCGUUGUAGAAACAUUAUUCCUGAUGUGGUAACCUACAGUUCACUCAUUGAUGGUUUGUGUAAAACAGGAAGAAUUGAAUAUGCAUUGGAGCUUGUCGAUGAAAUGCCUGAUAGAGCUCAACCACCUAAUUUGUUAACUUACAAUUCUAUAUUGGAUGCUUUGUUCAAAAACCAUCAUGUUGACGAGGCAAUUGCAUUAUUAACCAAAAUUAUAGAGAAGGGUAUUCAGCCAAACAUGCAUACGUACACUAUUCUUAUACAUGGAUUGUGUAUAAAUGGGAGACCGGAGGAUGCAAGAAAGGUUUUUGAAGAUCUUUUGGUCAAAGGCUACAAUCUACAUGUCUAUACAUAUAACGCUAUGAUCAGGGGAUUUUGCAACAAGGGCUUGUUUGACGAAGCAUUUACCAUGCUAUCAAAAAUGGAACCCAAUCGUUGUAUUCCGGAUGAUGAAACUUAUGAAACAAUUAUUCUUUCCCUCUUGGAAAAAGGUGAAAAUGAUAAAGCAAAUAAACUUCGUCAUGAAAUGAUUGAGAGAGGUCUAUUAUAUAAUCAAAACUAGGGAAAAGUUUGUUACGUAGUUGGGUAUGGAUAUUUUCUCUGGUCGUUGAUGUUCUUUUAUGAUAAGAAGGGAUAAAUACAUACUCACGCUGUAUAUUUUUACAGGAUUGAUUGUCUGUUGAGAGUUGGAUCUGUUGCAAGCUUCAAAUGUUAAACCGGCCAUGUUCUCCGAUUCCAAUUUUCUUGUUCAGAAGAUAAUGUAAAUACCUGUUAUAUGAUUUCUAAAGAACAAGUUCUAUUCUUGUGAA